AACGAACGCUGGCGGCAUGCCUAACACAUGCAAGUCGAACGAGAUCUUCGGGUCUAGUGGCGCACGGGUGCGUAACGCGCGGGAAUCUGCCCUUUGGUUCGGAAUAACAGUUGGAAACGACUGCUAAUACCGGAUGAUGACGAAAGUCCAAAGAUUUAUCGCCAGAGGAUGAGCCCGCGUAGGAUUAGCUAGUUGGUGUGGUAAAGGCGCACCAAGGCGACGAUCCUUAGCUGGUCUGAGAGGAUGAUCAGCCACACUGGGACUGGGACACGGCCCAGACUCCUACGGGAGGCAGCAGUGGGGAAUAUUGGACAAUGGGCGAAAGCCUGAUCCAGCAAUGCCGCGUGAGUGAUGAAGGCCUUAGGGUUGUAAAGCUCUUUUACCCGGGAUGAUAAUGACAGUACCGGGAGAAUAAGCUCCGGCUAACUCCGUGCCAGCAGCAGCCGCAG
rnacentral:rRNA from 1 species